GAAACUGCGAAUGGCUCAUUAAAUCAGUUAUCGUUUAUUUGAUAGUACCUUACUACAUGGAUACCUGUGGUAAUUCUAGAGCUAAUACAUGCUAAAAACCCCGACUUCAGGAAGGGGUGUAUUUAUUAGAUAAAAAACCAACGCCCUUCGGGGCUCCUUGGUGAAUCAUAAUAACUUAACGAAUCGCAUGGCCUUGCGCCGGCGAUGGUUCAUUCAAAUUUCUGCCCUAUCAACUUUCGAUGGUAGGAUAGUGGCCUACCAUGGUGGCAACGGGUAACGGGGAAUUAGGGUUCGAUUCCGGAGAGGGAGCCUGAGAAACGGCUACCACAUCCAAGGAAGGCAGCAGGCGCGCAAAUUACCCAAUCCCGAUACGGGGAGGUAGUGACAAUAAAUACUGAUACGGGGCUCUUUUGGGUCUCGUAAUUGGAAUGAGAACAAUUUAAAUCCCUUAACGAGGAACAAUUGGAGGGCAAGUCUGGUGCCAGCAGCCGCGGUAAUUCCAGCUCCAAUAGCGUAUAUUAAAGUUGUUGCAGUUAAAAAGCUCGUAGUUGAACCUUGGGUCUGGCUGGCCGGUCCGCCUCAC
rnacentral:rRNA from 1 species